ACUAAAGCGUGUUUGUGCCACCUAGUCAUGUGCCACUGCCAGUCACAUACACCCAGUACCAGCCAUGCUCAUAGCCAUGGUCCCUGCUGCAGUCUCACUGCUUCACCACCAGAUAGAGCUAGCUGCUAGAUGUGCUCUUGUUGCCAUGCCUUUUCACCAUGUCUGCUUUGCCCUGUGCUCUAGUCUUGUUGACCUGGUUUAUACCUGGUUCUCUGCUGCUUGUUUUCACUCACGUGGUAAAUUCUAUUAUGUUUAAUGAUACGUGCUUUUGGCUAAAGAGAAGAUUGAAGUCAGACAUUUUUUGGGGGUGUUUUUUUUGCUGAUGUUGGGAUCUUAGAUCCUUCUGCAUAAAGCAAUGUAUCACAAUUACCAUCCAGAGCACAAUCAGGUCAGUCAUUAGAAUGGUAUGCAUGCCACGUGCUGAUUGGGAUGUGGAGUGUGGCUGCCUCACCGUGUCCGACAUGCACUUGUGAUUUGUGAACCUUAUUGGAUGCACUCAUUGACCUGUAUUACACUGGACGGGUUACACAGCACAGGUUGUCUAAGCAGUGCAGAGCUAAAUAUCCAGUCUCUAUUAGGAAAGAUUGAUUGAAUGAUUUAAUGAUUGAAUCCAAUUGAGUCAUUUCACUGCAAUACCUCUUUCACAAUGCAAAACUGAAAGGUUGGGAGCAGCUAACGGGUUGGGAGCAACUAACAGGUAAUCAAAGAAGCAAUGCAGUCCGUAUGUAGUCGUGUAUAGGUACGUGAGUUUUUGUUUAUAGUUAGUAUAGCCUACCUUUUUGCUUUUAUUAUUAUUAUAGUUGAAGCCGAUCCCUGUCUUUUGUGCCCCCUGAAUCUCAGUGAGUAUUACAGAGUAACACCUUGUCCCCUGCUCCCACUGAGUCUCUGUUAGUUAGUAACAUCUCAUCCCCUGCUCCCACUGAGUCUCUGUUAGUUAGUAACAUCUCAUCCCCUGCUCCCACUGAGUCUCUGUUAGUUAGUAACAUCUCGUCCCCUGCUCCCACUGAGUCUGUUAGUUAGUAACAUCUUGGCCCCUGAGUCUCUGUUAGUUAGUAACAUCUUGGCCCCUGAGUCUCUGUUAGUUAGUAACAUCUCAUCCCCUGAGUCUUUGUUAGUAACAUCCUGGCCCCUGAGUCUCUGUUAGUAACAUCCUGGCCCCUGAGUCUUAUAGUUAAUAACAUCUCGUCCUCCAUUGAGUCUCUGUUAGUUAGUAAGGUCUCGGCCCCUGAGUCUCUGUUAGUUAGUAAGGUCUCGGCCCCUGAGUCUCUGUUAGUUAGUAAGGUCUCGGCCCCUGAGUCUCUGUUAGUUAGUAAGGUCUCGGCCCCUGAGUCUCUGUUAGUUAGUAAGGUCUCGGCCCCUGAGUCUCUGUUAGUUAGUAAGGUCUCGGCCCCUGAGUCUCUGUUAGUUAGUAAGGUCUCGGCCCCUGAGUCUCUGUUAGUUAGUAAGGUCUCGGCCCCUGAGUCUCUGUUAGUUAGUAAGGUCUCGGCCCCUGAGUCUCUGUUAGUUAGUAAGGUCUCGGCCCCUGAGUCUCUGUUAGUUAGUAACGUCUCGGCCCCUGAGUCUCUGUUAGUUAGUAACGUCUCGGCCCCUGAGUCUCUGUUAGUUAGUAACGUCUCGGCCCCUGAGUCUCUGUUAGUUAGUAACGUCUCGGUCCCUGAGUCUCUGUUAGUUAGUAACGUCUCGGUCCCUGAGUCUCUGUUAGUUAGUAACGUCUCGGCCCCUGAGUCUCUGUUAGUUAGUAACGUCUCGGCCCCUGAGUCUCUGUUAGUUAGUAACGUCUCGGCCCCUGCUCCCCCUGAAUUUGUCAGUGAAAGAGUAAAGCCUUAUACCCUGUCUCUCUCCCUGCUC